CACGGAAGUCUGAAAGAGGUGUCCGGGAACACCGGGGAGAGAAGAAAGAAUCCAAGAUCUCCCCGCAGGCCACGUGGCUUCUGGAGUUCCCACCAGGCUGGCAAGGUGAAGGUGGCGUUUGCUCUCAAGCCAUGGAGCUCAGAGCGCCUCAGGUUGGCUACUGGGCAGGCGAGCCCCCCUGUGCUGGGCAUCAGGACCAGGCAGGAGACAGGUCGUCCUGGCCCCGGGUCUACACAGUCCCACUCCGCCGCCACCUGUGGACUUGAAAAUCCAACUUCCUUGCAACGUGUCCAGCACUAAAGCAGACAGGUGCUGCUGGGCGCUUACCCACAUGGUAGAAAACCAAGCCAGAUUCUCCAACAAGGGCGCAACCAGAAUCCUCAGCAAGUCCCUCCCUGGGCCCUGGUUUCCUGCUUAUUAAGAAUGAGUUUAUAGGGCUUCCCUGGUGGCGCAGUGGUUAAGAAUCCGCCUGCCGGUGCAGGGGACACGGGUUCGAGCCCUGUUCCGGGAAGAUCCCACACGCCGCGGAGCAACUAAGCCCGUGCGCCACAACUACUAAGCCUGCGCUCUAGAGCCCGUGAGACACAACUACUGAGCCCGCGUGCCACAACUACUGAAGGCUGCGUGCCUAGAGCCCGUGCUCUGCAACAAGAGAAGCCACCGCAGUGAGAAGCCCGCGCACCGCAACGAAGAGCAGCCCCCGCUCGCCGCAACUAGAGAAAGCCCACGCGCAGCAACGAAGACCCAAUGCAGCCAAAAAUGAAUGAAU